UGGGACACCGACAUAUCAUUUAAUAUACCAAGAGAACUUGGCCUUCUGGGAAAGAAAGCUAUACAGCAACGCGAAACCGCUCAGAAGAUUGCCCUUCAAGCACUUAGAGAAGCCUCAGCCACUGAAACCGUUGUUUGACCCGUGAGGUAUGAGUAUUCCCGUGUGCGCGCGUGAUAAGACAUAGCCCUCUUUGUGCCGCUGCAAAAUUUCCUGUUCGAGCUCUACCAAGACUAUUGCAAACUCUGAAUUGCACCAGCGGGUUUGUAUGGUUUUGCUUACAAGUAGCCAUGGCAACAUGUUUGCUUAUUAAUGGGUCAAUUUGGAUUCCGCCUUUUCUCAAUCGGGUCAACUAAAAAAAGAUAGCUAACAGGUAGAACAGGUCAAACAUUUAUAACACGUUGAAAGUCACCCUGUUGGCGAUGGAAACAUGAGGCCUGUCCCCACUUGAUGUAAGUUUCCGAUUAUUGCCAACUUUGGUGGACCUGGUGGAAGGUUUUUGAGGCUCUUAGAAAAAAAAAACAAUUUUCUUUGUUUGAAGACGAAUAAGAGGAAGAAGACUGUUGAUAGCAGGAAGAGAAGGGAUGGGAGAUUGUUAUCUCUGAGAAAAGUUGUGAUAUUCAUAUAUAUAAUCUAGGUGAUGGGAUAUAAGGGUUUUAGUUUUUGUUGUUUGUGAAUGAUUCUAGACAUAGGGGAUGGGUGUAUUUAUUGACUUAAAUUGGCUGCAAGUCAAUAAACUUCCUUUACCAUUACAUGGGUCAAAUGUCAUAUUCUAAUGACCAUAACUUAAUUUGCAUGAGGAAUUAAUAAUUGGUUUGUA